GACGAACGCUGGCGGCGUGCCUAAUACAUGCAAGUCGAACGCAUUUUCUUUCACCGUAGCUUGCUACACCGAAAGAAACUGAGUGGCGAACGGGUGAGUAACACGUGGGUAACCUGCCCAUCAGCGGGGGAUAACACUUGGAAACAGGUGCUAAUACCGCAUAAUUCCAUUUACCGCAUGGUAGAUGGGUGAAAGGCGCUUUUGCGUCACUGAUGGAUGGACCUGCGGUGCAUUAGCUAGUUGGUGGGGUAACGGCCUACCAAGGCUGCGAUGCAUAGCCGACCUGAGAGGGUGAUCGGCCACACUGGGACUGAGACACGGCCCAGACUCCUACGGGAGGCAGCAGUAGGGAAUCUUCGGCAAUGGACGCAAGUCUGACCGAGCAACGCCGCGUGAGUGAAGAAGGUUUUCGGAUCGUAAAACUCUGUUGUUAGAGAAGAACAAGGAUGAGAGUGGAAAGUUCAUCCCUUGACGGUAUCUAACCAGAAAGCCACGGCUAACUACGUG
rnacentral:rRNA from 1 species